AACGAACGCUGGCGGCGUGUUUAAGACAUGCAAGUCGCACGGGAUAAGACAUGUAGUAAUACUUGUGUUAUUUAGUGGCGCACGGGUGAGUAACACGUGAAUUACAUGCCCUAUAGUGGGGAAUAGCCCAGGGAAACUUGGAUUAAUACCCCAUGGUAUCGAAAGAUUAAAGGUGGCCGCAAGGCUGUCGCUAUAGGAUUGGUUCGCGCCCUAUCAGCUUGUUGGUGAGGUAACGGCUCACCAAGGCGAUGACGGGUACCUGGUCUGAGAGGACGAUCAGGCACACUGGAACUGAGACACGGUCCAGACACCUACGGGUGGCAGCAGUCGAGAAUAAUUCACAAUGGGGGCAACCCUGAUGGUGCAACGCCGCGUGGAGGAUGACGGUCUUCGGAUUGUAAACUCCUGUCAUCUGGGAGAAAGACCUGACGGUAAAUAGCCGGCAGGGUUGAUAGUACCAGAAGAGGAAGGGACGGCUAACUUCGUGCCAGCAGCCGCCGUAA
rnacentral:rRNA from 1 species